AUUGAACGCUGGCGGCAGGCCUAACACAUGCAAGUCGAACGGUAACAGGAAGAAGCUUGCUUCUUUGCUGACGAGUGGCGGACGGGUGAGUAAUGUCUGGGAAACUGCCUGAUGGAGGGGGAUAACUACUGGAAACGGUAGCUAAUACCGCAUAAUGUCGCAAGCCCAAAGAGGGGGACCUUCGGGCCUCUUGCCAUCGGCUGUGCCCAGAUGGGAUUAGCUAGUAGGUGGGGUAACGGCUCACCUAGGCGACGCUCCCUAGCUGGUCUGAGAGGAUGACCAGCCACACUGGAACUGAGACACGGUCCAGACUCCUACGGGAGGCAGCAGUGGGGAAUAUUGCACAAUGGGCGCAAGCCUGAUGCAGCUAUGCCGCGUGUAUGAAGAAGGCCUUCGGGUUGUAAAGUACUUUCAGCGGGGAGGAAGGGAGUAAAGUUAAUACCUUUGCUCAUUGACGUUACCCGCAGAAGAAGCACCGGCUAACUCCGUG
rnacentral:rRNA from 1 species